rnacentral:tRNA from 1 species
AGAAAAGUGCCUGAAUAAAGGGUUAUUCUGAUAGAGUGAAUUAUGCGCAUCCUGCCUUUUCUA